rnacentral:rRNA from 1 species
GACGAACGCUGGCGGCGUGCCUAAUACAUGCAAGUAGAACGCUGAAGGAGGAGCUUGCUUCUCUGGAUGAGUUGCGAACGGGUGAGUAACGCGUGGGUAACCGGCCUGUUAGGGGGGGAUAACUAUGGGAAAGGAAAGCUAUUACCGCAUAUUAGCGGUGUUUGCAGGAUAACGGUUUGAAAGUUGCAAUUGCACCCCAACAAGUGGGCCCUGCGUUGUAUUAGCUAGUUGGUGGGGUAACGGCUCACCAAGGCGACGAUACAUAGCCGACCUGAGAGGGUGAUCGGCCACACUGGGACUGAGACACGGCCCAGACUCCUACGGGAGGCAGCAGUAGGGAAUCUUCGGCAAUGGACGGAAGUCUGACCGAGCAACGCCGCGUGAGUGAAGAAGGUUUUCGGAUCGUAAAGCUCUGUUGUAAGAGAAGAACGAGUGUGAGAGUGGAAAGUUCACACUGUGACGGUAUCUUACCAGAAAGGGACGGCUAACUACGUG